UAGUCACAGAAUGGCAGCCCAGGCCCACGCACGGAGCGCGCGCAUGAAAAUGCUGGCCCAGGCCAGGUGGUGUGCGGGCGCGGCGUAUGCGGUCUACCACAUUUUCAUGGUCUACGGUUGGGCACAUGGACUGAGCACCCAUUUUCAAGGCGUUUCUCGCGGUCCACGGUGGAUCAGCCCCCGUUUCUCCAGCAUUUCUCAUGGUCCACAUGAAUUCUGGUGGACCGGAGGCACAAUUGAAUGGUCUUCCUUUCUCCCGAUUUUAAUCCGACGGCUGAGGGCUUUUCCUGGUUGAUUUAGGCCUGAUCCUGAUCAUUUUUUGAAUGAUUUUGGGCCAUGCGAUCCAGAUCCGAUGGUGGAUUUUCUUUCUUCGAUUCUACAGCGAAUAAGAGUUCGAUUUUGAUGCGGUUUGAACCUGGAUUCACCUGGUGACGAGCUCUAUUUAAAGGGAGGACUUGGGAGAAGAUUUAGCAAUCUGAGAGCAGUGAAAAAAAUAAAAAGAGGGUCCAAGAGAAGAGAAAAAAUAAGAGAGACGUGAGAUUCCUUUGAGAGAAAAAUGAAGGUAUUUUUCUUUUGUAAAAGAGAGUCCGUGUGAGCCUUUUUAUUUUUCUUCUUCUUCUUCUCUAAUUUUGUACUUCGUUGUGCCAUAAAUUAUUAAUAGAAGAACAUUGAGGAGGUCUUGCCUGUAGACAUAGGCCAACAAUCAGGCCAAACCACGUAAAUUUGGUGUGCUUUCUUUUCUCUUAUUUUUAUUGCUU
rnacentral:lncRNA from 1 species